CACGUAGGGUGCGAGCGUUGUCCGGAUUGACUGGGCGUAAAGCGCACGCAGGCGGUCGCGCGCGUGGGGUGUGAAAUCUGGCCGCUUAACGGCCAGGCGCCAUCCCAUACGGCGCGACUGGAGUGAUGCAGAGGUCGAUGGAAUUGCCGGUGUAGUGGUGAAAUGCGUAGAGAUCGGCAGGAACACCCAGGGGGAAACCAGUCGACUGGGCAUCUACUGACGCUGAGGUGCGAGAGCGUGGGGAGCGAACCGG
rnacentral:rRNA from 1 species